rnacentral:rRNA from 1 species
AGAGCGAACGCUGGCGGCAGGCCUAAUACAUGCAAGUCGAACGGAUCCUUCGGGAUUAGUGGCGGACGGGUGAGUAACACGUGGGAACGUGCCCUUUGGUUCGGAACAACUCAGGGAAACUUGAGCUAAUACCGGAUGUGCCCUUCGGGGGAAAGAUUUAUCGCCAUUGGAGCGGCCCGCGUCUGAUUAGCUAGUUGGUGGGGUAAAGGCCUACCAAGGCUACGAUCAGUAGCUGGUCUGAGAGGAUGAUCAGCCACACUGGGACUGAGACACGGCCCAGACUCCUACGGGAGGCAGCAGUAGGGAAUCUUGCGCAAUGGGCGAAAGGCCUGACGCAGCCAUGCCGCGUGAAUGAUGAAGGUCUUAGGAUUGUAAAAAUUCUUUCAGUGGGGACAUAAUGACGGUACCCACAGAAGAAGCCCCGGCUAAACUUCGUGCCAGCAGCCGC